rnacentral:lncRNA from 10 species
AGUCAUCAUAGUGGCAGCUUCCGCCUGCUACAGGAUAUUUAUAUAUGGAAGCAUACCAUGGCAGGAGUGCUGGAAAGGUGGUGUCAGCUAACAGUUGCUUCAGCCAGAUAAGGACGGUGUUCCAUCUUAACAUAAGUCACCAACUUCUAAACCUGGCACUGGGCAUUUGAAGAAUAGGAUUCGUCCCUACUCUAAGGAGUUUUCAGUCUAUCGGGAAAUCAAAGAUGUAAGCAAAUAGAUGCAAUAAAAUACUACAGAUGUUCUGAUAGAAGAAUGUAAAGAAUCCAGCAAAGGCAAAAGGAAAGACAGGGACAAUGACUCAUUCUUCCCAGGACACUGGUUCUUGUGGCAUUCAGGAAGAUGGAAAGCUUUAUGUGGUGGAUUCCAUAAAUGACUUAAACAAACUAAACCUCUGUCCAGCCGGAUCGCAGCAUCUGUUCCUGUUAAGACAGUCUUCAAAGAACUUUCCAAAGAGGUCUAAGGAGAUAGCUUAACCCUGCUUAUUCCUUGAAUACCAAUAGAGAAGAAGCUCUAGAGGACAAAAUCCCAGUCCUUGGCACAAACUCAGGAAAUGGAAGCCGGAGUCUGUUUUUUGUGGGGCUGCUAAUUGUGCUGAUUGUCAGCCUGGCACUGGUUUUUUUCGUGAUAUUUCUAAUAGUUCAAACUGGAAACAAGAUGGAUGAUGUGUCAAGAAGACUAACAGCUGAAGGAAAAGACAUAGAUGAUCUUAAGAGAAUCAAUAACAUGAUCGUAAAGCGACUCAACCAACUCAACCAACUGGACUCUGAACAAAACUAAAGGAAUGAUUUUCUGAAAGCA